AGGAGUAAACCACACCAGAGCACCCGCCAACCACCCACCCACCACCCAUCUGGAAUCUUCGACUUGGAUUAGACAAGACAACGCUGGAGAAGUUUACUUUCCGAAAGCUUUCUUCAGAGGGAGUACUGUGUACUGUAGUCUGUGGUCUAGAAGGGAGCUCUGCCCGGAGACGAUCAUCACUCACUGAAGGUGGAGGUCAAGGAUCUACGUACCUACCUCCCCAUCACAUUAAUUAAAGCGUCCGCUGAGCUGGGUUGAAGCACUAUGGCGUGUCUGCAGAAACGAGGCUCUGAUUCAACGUUCCUCAGCCCAACUCUUAUCCUGAGUUCUCGUGAACCUGACAACUAAACACACGCAAAAAAAAGAAUAAAAAGAUACACACAUUAAAAUUUAUUCCUCCAAGCUGCGGCAACUUUGAGGGAGGCUUAGCGUUAUUUUAUUUGACACGUCUUAGAAUAGACCUUUAAGAUUUGUGAGCGUGUCGUCUUUCAAAAAAAGCCAAGGGAGACGUGCUAUUUUGAAGCCAGUCAGAUAGAAGAUAGGAUGUUUUUUGUUAUACAGACGUACUCCAUAUAGACAGAGAGAUUGCCCCCUCGCAGUUGUUGUAAGCUGGUGCUGAAAAUAGAUAUAAUUAAACUUUGAAAUGAAUGAGAUAUAUUUAUGAGGUGAUCAUCAAGAUAUGCCCUAGAGAAAAGUUCUCAGAAGAAACCCGAAACUGUUUAUGAAGAAUAACUUUAAAAACAUUCAGGAAAAACGUAAUAUGAAAACGAUCAAAGUGAUUUAAGAGAAGAUUACGUAAAUGAAUGCGGGAACUGCUCGAAAAUGAAAGACGAUCUCGUCACAGAAGGACAGAUUUCAGAGUAGAAACAAAAAGUCAGACUGAAAAAUAAACCAACCGACUGAACUGUCGCAUCAGAUUAUACGUCAGAUUGUGAAAUUGUCGUGAAGUUGUCACAUCAGUUUCAUCGUCUGAUUUGUAAAACGGUCACAUCAGAUUCGUCAUCGGAUUGUGAAACUGUCACAUCAGAUUCGUCAUCGGAUUGUAAAACUGUCACAUCAGAUUCGUUGUCCGAUUGUGAAACUGCUGUAUCGGAUUCGUCAGACUUUGGAGAAAAAAAGUGACAGCCGAAAAAGCGUCUGUGGUGACGUCACAUCCACGGUUAUAAAAGCGGAAAGCGGGCCUGUGU